ensembl:ncRNA F32A6.7 ncRNA
GCCCUCCAUGCUUUGAGCAAGGGGGAGGCUCAUUUAUCUCUACCCAUUCGUACGUUGUGGUGGUAUCAAUCAUUUGAGAUAAAGGAUAGGAGACAGAAAGAAAACAACGGUGCGAAAUAAAUCAUAU